rnacentral:rRNA from 1 species
UACGUAGGGUGCAAGCGUUAAUCGGAAUUACUGGGCGUAAAGCGUGCGCAGGCGGUUUUGUAAGUCUGACGUGAAAUCCCCGGGCUCAACCUGGGAAUUGCGUUGGAGACUGCAAGGCUGGAGUCUGGCAGAGGGGGGUAGAAUUCCACGUGUAGCAGUGAAAUGCGUAGAUAUCGAGAGGAACACCUGCGGCGAAGGCGGGUUGCUGGGCCGACACUGACGCUGAUGCGCGAAAGCUAGGGGAGCGAACGGG